GAUGAACGCUGGCGGCGUGCCUAAUACAUGCAAGUCGAGCGAACAGAUGAGGAGCUUGCUCCUCUGACGUUAGCGGCGGACGGGUGAGUAACACGUGGAUAACCUACCUAUAAGACUGGGAUAACUUCGGGAUACCGGAGCUAAUACCGGAUAAUAUAUUGAACCGCAUGGUUCAAUAGUGAAAGACGGUUUUGCUGUCACUUAUAGAUGGAUCCGCGCCGCAUUAGCUAGUUGGUAAGGUAACGGCUUACCAAGGCAACGAUGCGUAGCCGACCUGAGAGGGUGAUCGGCCACACUGGAACUGAGACACGGUCCAGACUCCUACGGGAGGCAGCAGUAGGGAAUCUUCCGCAAAGGGCGAAAGCCUGACGGAGCAACGCCGCGUGAGUGAUGAAGGUCUUCGGAUCGUAAAACUCUGUUAUUAGGGAAGAACAAAUGUGUAAGUAACUAUGCACGUCUUGACGGUACCUAAUCAGAAAGCCACGGCUAACUACGUG
rnacentral:rRNA from 1 species